AGAGUUUGAUCCUGGCUCAGAUUGAACGCUAGCGGCAGGCCUAACACAUGCAAGUCGAGGGGAAACGACAGGUGCUUGCACCUAGGCGUCGACCGGCGGACGGGUGAGUAAUACACAGGAAUCUACCUUGUAGCGGGGGAUAGCUCAGAGAAAUCGGAAUUAAUACCGCAUAUUAUCUACGGAUGAAAGAAGGGGAUCGUAAGACCUUUCACUACAAGAUGAGCCUGUGCAAGAUUAGCUAGUUGGUGAGGUAAAGGCUCACCAAGGCUACGAUCUUUAGCUGAUUUGAGAGAAUGAUCAGCCACACUGGGACUGAGACACGGCCCAGACUCCUACGGGAGGCAGCAGUGAGGAAUAUUGCGCAAUGGGGGCAACCCUGACGCAGCCAUGCCGCGUGUAUGAAGAAGGUUCUAGGAUUGUAAAGUACUUUUAGCAAUGAGGAAAAGUUUUUAGUUAAUACCUAAGAACCUUGACAUUAGUUGCAGAAAAAGCACCGGCUAACUUCGUGCCAGCAGCCGCGGUAAUACGAGGGGUGCAAGCGUUAAUCGGAUUUACUGGGCGUAAAGCGCAUGUAGGCUGUUUUGCAAGUUGUAUGUGAAAGCCCCAAGCUCAACUUGGGAAUUGCAUACAAAACUGCUUAACUAGAGUGUGGUAGAGGAUAAUGGAAUUUCCUGUGUAGCGGUGGAAUGCUUAGAUACUGGAAAGAACAUCAGUGGCGAAGGCGAUUAUCUGGGCCAUUACUGACGCUGAGAUGCGAAAGCGUGGGUAGCAAACGGGAUUAGAGACCCCGGUAGUCCACGCCGUAAACGAUGAAGACUAGUUUUUUGGGAAACUGGGAAGCGUAGCUAACGCGUUAAGUCUUCCGCCUGGGAAGUACGGCCGCAAGGCUAAAACUCAAAUGAAUUGACGGGGGCCCGCACAAGCGGUGGAGCAUGUGGUUUAAUUCGAUGAAACGCGAAAAACCUUACCUACUCUUAACAUUUAUAGAAGAAGCUAGAGAUAGCUUUGUGCCUUUGGGAAUUAUAAAAUAGGUGCUGCAUGGCUGUCGUCAGUUAGUGUCGUGAGAUGUUGGGUUAAGUCCCGCAACUAACGCAACCCUUAUCCCUUGUUGCUAACAGUUCGGCUGAGGUCUCUAGGGAGACUGCCGGUGAUAAGCCGGAGGAAGGUGAGGAUGAUGUCGAGUCAUCAUGGCCCUUAUGAGUAGGGCUACACACGUGCUACAAUGGCCGGUACAACAGGUUGCAAAAUCGCGAGAUGAAGCUAAUCCUCUAAAGCCGGUCUCAGUCCGGAUUGCAGUCUGAAAUUCGACUGCAUGAAGUCGGAAUCGCUAGUAAUCGUGAAUCAGCAUGUCGCGGUGAAUUCGUUCUCGGGCCUUGUACACACCGCCCGUCACACCAUGGGAGUGAUUUGUUCCUGAAAUGGGUUGCCUAACCUUCGGGAUGGUGCUUAUAACGGAAUAUUUUAUGACUGGGGUGAAGUCGUAACAAGGUAGCC
rnacentral:rRNA from 1 species